rnacentral:tRNA from 1 species
CCCAGUAGCUCAGAUAGUAAAGCUUCUGCCUGCAAUGCAGGAGACCAGGGUUUGAUCCCUGGGUUGGGA